GUCGAGAAUCUUUCACAAUGGGGGCAACCCUGAUGGAGCGACGCCGCGUGGAGGAUAAGGUCUUCGGAUUGUAAACUCCUGUCAUGCGUGAACAAGGUUGCUUGGUUAAUACCUGGGCAAAUUGAUGGUAACGCAAGAGGAAGAGACGGCUAACUCUGUGCCAGCAGCCGCGGUAAUACAGAGGUCUCAAGCGUUGUUCGGAAUCACUGGGCGUAAAGGGUGUGUAGGUGGCGUGGUAAGUCAGAUGUGAAAGCCCGGUGCUCAACCUCGAAACUGCAUCCGAUACUGCCAUGCUAGAGUACUGGAGAGGUGACUAGAAUUCUCGGUGUAGCAGUGAAAUGCGUAGAUAUCGAGAGGAAUACCAAAGGCGUAGGCAGGUCACUGGACAGUUACUGACACUGAGGCACGAAGGCCAGGGGAGCGAACGGGAUUAGAAACCCGGGUAGUCC
rnacentral:rRNA from 1 species